CCUCUGUCCAUGGAAUUCUCCAGGCAAGAAUACUAGAGUCAAGAAAGGGCAGAGUGAAAACACCGCUUUUGGGUGAAGCAGCAGCAUGUUGUGUUGUUUUGCUUCAAUCGGUGGUGUGACAAGG